rnacentral:rRNA from 1 species
CAGCCGCCGCGGUAAUACGAAGGGGGCUAGCGUUGUUCGGAAUUACUGGGCGUAAAGCGCACGUAGGCGGAUAUUUAAGUCAGGGGUGAAAUCCCGCAGCUCAACUGCGGGACUGCCUUUGAUACUGGGUAUCUUGAGUAUGGAAGAGGUUAGUGGAAUUGCGAGUGUAGAGGUGAAAUUCGUAGAUAUUCGCAGGAACACCAGUGGCGAAGGCGGCUAACUGGUCCAUAACUGACGCUGAGGUGCGAAAGCGUGGGGAGCAAACAGGAUUAGAUACCCGCGUAGUCCCUGUCUCUUAUAA